GAUGAACGCUGGCGGCGUGCCUAAUACAUGCAAGUCGAGCGAACAGACGAGGAGCUUGCUUCUCUGAUGUUAGCGGCGGACGGGUGAGUAACACGUGGAUAACCUACCUAUAAGACUGGGAUAACUUCGGGAAACCGUAGCUAAUACCGGAUAAUAUUUUGAACCGCAUGGUUCAAUAGUGAAAGACGGUCUUGCUGUCACUUAUAGAUGGAUCCGCGCUGCAUUAGCUAGUUGGUAAGGUAACGGCUUACCAAGGCAACGAUGCGUAGCCGACCUGAGAGGGUGAUCGGCCACACUGGAACUGAGACACGGUCCAGACUCCUACGGGAGGCAGCAGUAGGGAAUCUUCCGCAAUGGGCGAAAGCCUGACGGAGCAACGCCGCGUGAGUGAUGAAGGUCUUCGGAUCGUAAAACUCUGUUAUUAGGGAAGAACAUAUGUGUAAGUAACUGUGCACAUCUUGACGGUACCUAAUCAGAAAGCCACGGCUAACUACGUG
rnacentral:rRNA from 1 species